rnacentral:rRNA from 1 species
AUGCAUGAUCUUGAGGACAAUACUGUUCCAGAGAUACAAAGAACCAACCUUGCAAAUGUUGUUCUUACAAUUAAGAGUCUUGGUAUUCAUGACUUGGUUAAUUUUGAUUUUAUGGACCCACCUCCUUCAGAGGCCUUGUUGAAGGCCCUGGAACAACUUUUUGCUCUUAGUGCACUCAACAGUCGUGGAGAGUUGACCAAGACUGGAAGACGAAUGGCAGAGUUUCCACUAGAUCCUAUGCUGUCAAAGAUGAUAGUAGCUUCAGAGAAAUAUAAGUGUUCUGAUGAGGUCAUGUCCAUUGCGUCAAUGCUGUCGAUCGGCAAUUCUAUAUUCUACCGUCCGAAGGACAAACAGGAGGAGCUGCUGGACAGGAGGAUGAGGAGGAGCUGCUGGACAGGAGGAAGAGGAGGAGGAGCUGCUGGACAGGAGGAAGAGGAGGAGCUGCUGGAGAGGAGGAACCGUUGGAGAGGAGGGGGAGGAGCUGCUGGAGAGGAGGAGGAACCAGAUCUGCUGGAGAGGAGCCACUGA